GGCCCCAUCGUCUAUCGGCUAGGACAUUGGGUUUUCAUCCCAAAAAGCCGGGUUCAACUCCCGGUGGGGUCA
rnacentral:tRNA from 2 species